rnacentral:lncRNA from 1 species
CCCAGCUCCGGAGGAUGCGGUGCGACCUGCCCCCCACCCAGGUGGGCUCAGGGCCCUGGCCCCUCCCGACUCGGCCUGCUGGGGCCACCCACAGGGGACAGAGCCCCCGGGGCCCCCAUCCUCAUCUCUGGGGCUCUCCUCUUCUGCUCCAGCCUCAGGGACCCCAGGCCAGGGCUGGGCGUGCAGGCACCCACUGCAGGGCCCAGGCACCAGUGUGGGGGGCUGAGCACAGGGUCAGGCCGGGGACCACGCGGGAGCCGUGAGGACCCCCGGGGCCCCCAGUGGGGGACACACAGCCUGCUGGAGACGCUGACCCCGUCGGCCUCUUUCCAGCGGGACCUGAGGAGUUCCCCACGAGGCCCCUGGGCAUGGAGCGAGUGUCCCCGGCGCCCAGGCCUCUCCUCCCUUCUCCGGCCUCUGAGCCACCGCCCAGGGUGGAGGAGCCGGCCUCCCUGGGCCCAGCCACCCAGCCUGAGCUGCCCAGACCCCCUCCCGGCCAGGCCAUCGUCCAACUUCCCCCCAGCGAUGGAACUCCCUCCCCAUCCUCCCAGUGCAACAGACGGUGCAGGCAGGUGGCCCCCAGACAUGGUGGGCUUGAAGACAAAAAAUGGGGUCCCCUUCCCUUCGGCACCUGCCUGGGCCACCCGAGAGGCCCCGCGAUGGACCAGGCCCUGGAGCACUCCCGGGACUCCCAUGACGGGGUCCCCCCAGCCCCCAAGGGACGAUGCUGUCAGACCCAGGACACCCUUCCUGCCCCGCAGCCAUUGCAGCUCGUGCUCCUCGCUGGGCAGUGACAGGCACAGCCAGGGCAGAGCCAGGGUGGCGCUGAGCCCACUGUCCCGAGGCCCGGCACAGGCCCGGGACCCUCUGCCCUCCGCGUCCACAAUGCAGCUCGAUGCUCGCGGGCCUCUGGGGCAGAGCGUGGCGGUGAGUGCGGGGGCCCGGAGGCUCUGGCCCGCCGUCACCGUGUCCUGCCUUGUCUCGCUGUCCCUCCCAGAGGGAGGCACCCCCCCCGCACAGGACACCAGCCCCUGA